UUGAAUGGAGAGUUCGAUCCUGGCUCAGGAUGAACGCUGGCGGCGCGCCUAACACAUGCAAGUCGAACGAUUAAAGCACCUUCGGGUGUGUAUAAAGUGGCGAACGGCUGAGUAACACGUGGGCAACCUGCCCCUCUCAUUGGGAUAGCCACGGGAAACCGUGGAUAAUACCGAAUACUUCGAGACUUCCGCAUGGAAGACUCGAGAAAGCUCCGGCGGAGAGGGAUGGGCCCGCGGCCUGUUAGCUUGUUGGUGGGGUAACGGCCUACCAAGGCAAUGAUGGGUAGCUGGGUUGAGAGACCGACCAGCCAGAUUGGGACUGAGAUACGGCCCAGACUCCUACGGGAGGCAGCAGUGGGGAAUCUUGCACAAUGGGCGAAAGCCUGAUGCAGCGACGCCGCGUGCGGGAUGAAGGCCUUCGGGUUGUAAACCGCUUUCGCUCAUGGUCAAGCCGCAACAGUGGUUGUGGUGAGGGUAGUGGGUAAAGAAGCCCCGGCUAACUACGUGCCAGCAGCCGCGGUAAUACGUAGGGCGCGAGCGUUGUCCGGAAUUAUUGGGCGUAAAGAGCUCGUAGGCGGUUUGUCGCGUCUGCUGUGAAAGGCCGGGGCUUAACCCCGUGUAUUGCAGUGGGUACGGGCAGACUAGAGUGCAGUAGGGGAGACUGGAAUUCCUGGUGUAGCGGUGGAAUGCGCAGAUAUCAGGAAGAACACCGAUGGCGAAGGCAGGUCUCUGGGCUGUAACUGACGCUGAGAAGCGAAAGCAUGGGGAGCGAACAGGAUUAGAUACCCUGGUAGUCCAUGCCGUAAACGUUGGGCACUAGGUGUGGGGGACAUUCCACGUUUUCCGCGCCGUAGCUAACGCAUUAAGUGUCCCGCCUGGGGAGUACGGCCGCAAGGCUAAAACUCAAAGGAAUUGACGGGGGCCCGCACAAGCAGCGGAGCAUGUGGUUUAAUUCGAAGCAACGCGAAGA
rnacentral:rRNA from 1 species